UACGAAGGGGGCUAGCGUUGCUCGGAAUUACUGGGCGUAAAGCGCACGUAGGCGGAUUGUUAAGUCGGGGGUGAAAUCCUGGAGCUCAACUCCAGAACUGCCUUCGAUACUGGCGAUCUCGAGUCCGGGAGAGGUGAGUGGAACUGCGAGUGUAGAGGUGAAAUUCGUAGAUAUUCGCAAGAACACCAGUGGCGAAGGCGGCUCACUGGCCCGGUACUGACGCUGAGGUGCGAAAGCGUGGGGAGGCAA
rnacentral:rRNA from 1 species